AGCCGCCUCCGUCUACCUGGUCUCGCCUGAUCUCGUCUAAUUUGGAAGCUAAGCAGGGUCGGGCUGGUUAGUACUUGGAUGGAGACCACCUGGGAAUACCAGGUGCUGUGGCUU
rnacentral:rRNA from 1 species